GACAGAGGUGCCAAGCGUUAGGCGGAAUCACUGGGCUUAAAGCGCGCGUAGGCGGCUCGGAAAGUCGGGCGUGAAAUGCCGGGGCUCAACCCCGGGACUGCGUCCGAUACUUCCGAGCUGGAGGUAGGUAGGGGAGAUCGGAAUUCCUGGUGUAGCGGUGAAAUGCGCAGAUAUCAGGAGGAACACCGGUGGCGAAGGCGGAUCUCUGGGCCUUACCUGACGCUGAGGCGCGAAAGCUAGGGGAGCGAACAGG
rnacentral:rRNA from 1 species